UGCCAGCAGCCGCGGUAAUACGGAGGGUGCAAGCGUUGUUCGGAAUUAUUGGGCGUAAAGCGCGUGUAGGCGGUUCGUUAAGUCUGAUGUGAAAGCCCGGGGCUCAACCCCGGAAGUGCAUUGGAAACUGGCGAACUUGAGUACGGGAGAGGAAAGUGGAAUUCCGAGUGUAGGGGUGAAAUCCGUAGAUAUUCGGAGGAACACCAGUGGCGAAGGCGGCUUUCUGGACCGAUACUGACGCUGAGACGCCAAAGCCCCGGCAUCUAACCGGAUCAGAUA
rnacentral:rRNA from 1 species